AUCAUUCCCAAAGCAUGUAAAAUUAUAUGGUUUUGUUCGUUGCAUAGGAAGAUGAAAAAUGACUUGAGAACAAUGCUUCAAGGAGUUAUUGGUAAAUCACGUGGUCAACUGGUUCAAAUUUUGUAUCCAAAGUGUAACCAGCAGCUAGAUUCAUGGGAAUGUGGCUUCUAUGUGAUGUGUUGGA